rnacentral:rRNA from 1 species
UAUUGCACAAUGGGGGAAACCCUGAUGCAGCGACGCCGCGUGAGUGAAGAAGCGUUUCGGCGCGUAAAGCUCUGUCAGCGGGGAAGAAACACGGUUCGCGAGAGCCGCGGACGGUACCCGACCAAGAAGCCCCGGCUAACUACGUGCCAGCAGCCGCGGUAAUACGUAGGGGGCAAGCGUUAUCCGGAUUCACUGGGUGUAAAGGGAGCGUAGACGGCGACGCAAGUCUGGAGUGAAAGCCCGGGGCCCAACCCCGGGACUGCUCUGGAAACUGCGUCGCUGGAGUACGGGAGGGGCAGGCGGAAUUCCUGGUGUAGCGGUGAAAUGCGUAGAUAUCAGGAGGAACACCGGCGGCGAAGGCGGCCUGCUGGACCGUGACUGACGUUGAGGCUCGAGAGCGUGGGGAGCAAACAGG